UGCGAUGAGUCGAGAAAUCACGCCACAUUUAUGUGGUCUGCGAAAGCAGCUUGGUGAACUUGAACGCAGGGGCAAGGUAACUCUCACCGGAUAUGUGAGCGCUCUGAUUCCAACGGAUUGUGGAGUCC
rnacentral:ncRNA from 1 species